ensembl:lncRNA
AAAAAAAAAAAAAAAAAAAAAAGUCUGUAAAGCAUGCAAAUGCCAACGUACCUGUACGCACCACUCAGAGACCUGCUAGCAUGACAAGACCCUCGGCCAUCUUUAUGCAAGGCGAUGGAGACCGACUGAUUUCUCCGUCUUCUUGCUCACAAGUUUUAGAGAUGCGGUUGUCACACACACCAAAAAUUGUACGCUGAACAGCUUGAAAGCCUGUGAUCACGAGGACUGAAUUUAUCAACGGCAAAACAGGGACUGAAAAAACUAAGUUCCUUAUCCAAGGAUUCUCUGAGGCUGCCACCAAGGAGGUGCUGGGCUGAAUUUUUUUUUCUCUCUCCCUUACUCCUCUGAGAGUUCAAAGCUCAGAGCUGACCACUGCAAAGGCCACUGUCACAUUUGCUGAAAAUCAAACCACUGAGACCGGCUCUGCGAAUACGAACGUGAGAACCGGAGUUGCUUGCACAGGGCGCAGUGCCUGUGAGUUAAAAAUAGAGUCCACCUUGCCUCCUACCUGCAUAAUAAACAUGCAGUCGAAGGCAUUCCAUGCACUUAGGCAGUGCGGCUGCACGGUGAAUGAAUCGUCGAAUAAAUCGUCUGCUUCUGCAAAUCAAACAGUCCUUGUGCUAAGGAAGGAAGUCAGCUGGAGUGAAUACAGUCAUAUCCUCUUCUUGGAGAGAGCUUGCAAUGCAGUUCACAACCUACUAUCAAGAUACAGAAUCAGUGGUGACUACUGAGCCCAGUGAGUGCCUCCUCAGUCUGGGAUAAUAAAUGACAGUGACAGCAGCGGUCAUCCAUCCCAGGUUCCCUGGAGACGAGUGAGUGAACAGUGUACAUUCCUUUAUAGCCUCGGCUCUCAGCCUUCCUGAUGCCGUGUGCGACCCUUUUAAUUCAGUUCCUCGUGUAGUGGUGACCCUCAACCGUAAAUUACUUUUGUUGCUACUUCACAACUGUAAUUUUGUUACUGUUAUGAAUCAUAAUGUAAAUGUCUGCUAUGCAGGAUAUCUGAUAUGCAGCAGGUUGAGAACCAUGGCUUUAUAGGGAAGGGUGGAAGCUGUGGUUGGGUCCCACACUUAUACUCCUUACAACGAGGUGCCAGGUCUAAGAGUUUCCACACCUCUCUCUUGGGCAUCCUUGUUUACUCUUUGUCAAAAUGAACAAAAAGACAGAUAUUGGAUGUUAUUUUGUGAUGUCUCAAACAGUGAGCAAAUGAUAUAUUUACCAAGCCUACAUGGUUUGAACGAACAUGAAUUCUAGCUGUAAAUAUUCUAGGGAAUGAGUCUGGGUAGAUGCUGUCCACUAAUAAAUCUUGUUUUAUACUGGGCAUAGCAAAAGCCAUGCUCAUGCCUGAAUUAUUUAAGCUUUAUCACGAUUACAAGUGGCAAAGAUAUACAUUUGCUUAGGAUUUUAAAAGAAUGGCAGGCCCCUCACUCAUCCUCGGGGAAUAUGCACAGACAUCAGCUUAAAUGAGAAUCCCUUUUCCUCCGAUGAAAACUGUAGGCUCUGACAAGUCAAACACAAGGUUCCCAAAACAAUUCGGCAAGGACAAGCUAGAGACCAGAGCAGGGCUGCAGACGUCUUCCUCUGACUUAUGCUCUUGCUUGCCCAUGGCCUCUGUAUUCUGCAGGAGGAGCUAAUUUUAUCUCCAGGCCUGUGGGUUAAAGUUAAAUGGCAUGGCUUAUGCAAAGUGCAUAAUUCAAGUCUGAACAGAGCUUGACUCUUCUCAUUUAAAAAAAAAAAAAACAUCAAGUCAGGGCACUGGGUCCCACAGGAAUCCUCGGUUUAUAAACAGUUGAAUUGGUUUGCAUGAUAUUUCUUGAUGCCAUUCAUGGCUUUAAAACAUCGCAGCUGGUUUCAUUUUAUACCUAAUCAAAUACAAGUAGGGGGACUCAUGAUCAGGUUAGCUAGUCGACUGAUUUUAAGAAUCAAUGUUCACCAUGCUUAAUAUUGUUGUUUAAAAUUUUUAAAUGUAAGAGGCAGAAAUUUUUUUUAUAAGGUUGAUGAAAUUCAGACCUGAAAACAGUAUGGGAGUUCUUUUUCUUUCUUUCCGUCUUUAAUUAUUAAUUAGUAUCUAUGUUCUUGAGACAGAAUCUCACUGUCUAGCUAUGACUGGCCAGGAGCUCACUAUGUAAAUGAGUCCAGCAUCAGACUCACAGAUACCUGUCUGCCUCUGCCUCCUGAAUGCUGGGAUUAAAGGUUUGUGCUGCCUCACCCUCAAUAAAGUCAUUUAUAACAGACUUUAAGUAAUUUGGGAGGGGGGCUGGAGACAUGGCUCAGCAGUUGAAAACACUGGCUUUUCUUUUAGGGGAUCUGGGUUUGAUUCCCAGCACCCACAUGGGGGCUCAAAACCAUCUAUAAUUCCAGUUCCAGAGAAUCCAACGGCCUCUUCUGAACUCUCUGAGCACCAGGCACACUUGUGAUACCCAGACAUAUAUGUGGCCAAAACGCUCAUACAUUAAAAAAAAAAAAGACUCUUAGAAAAUAAUGGGAUGAUAUUUUAGCUGACAUUUUUGAUAAAGUCCAUCACGGUUCUGAUGACUGUAUCUUGCCCAGAGAUCUGGGCGGGAACUUCUGUAUACUGACCAAAGCUGAAAACCAUCCUUAUUUUAACUAUGGUAUAUCAAUAAAUUCUAAUUUAACAAUA